CAGCCGCCACGGUAAUACGAAGGGGGCUAGCGUUGUUCGGAUUUACUGGGCGUAAAGGGCGCGUAGGCGGACUGAUAAGUCAGGGGUGAAAUCCCAAGGCUCAACCUUGGAACUGCCUUUGAUACUGUUUGUCGUGAGUUCGAGAGAGGUAAGUGGAACUGCGAGUGUAGAGGUGAAAUUCGUAGAUAUUCGCAAGAACACCAGUGGCGAAGGCGGCUUACCGGCUCGAAACUGACGCUGAGGCGCGAAAGCGUGGGGAGCAAACAGGAUUAGAUACCCCUGUAGUCCCUGUCUCUUAUAC
rnacentral:rRNA from 1 species